rnacentral:rRNA from 1 species
GACGAACGCUGGCGGCGUGCUUAACACAUGCAAGUCGAACGAAGUGGCGAACGGGUGAGUAAUACGUGGGUAACCUGCCCUCCUUUUUGGGAUAAGCCUUGGAAACGGGGUCUAAUACCGAAUAAAGGGGGAUGGGCUAGCGGCCUAUCAGCUUGUUGGUGGGGUGAUGGCCUACCAAGGCGGUGACGGGUAGCCGGCCUGAGAGGGUGACCGGGCACUGUGGGACGGAGAAACGGCCCAGACGCGGAAGGGGGGGGGCAGUGGGGGUUAUUGCACAAUGGUGGAAGGACUAAUGCAGCGUCGCCGCGGGGGGGAUGAAGGCUUUCGGGUUUUAAACCUGGUGAGCUAUCGAACGGGUAGGUGAAGAGAAAGCGCCGGCUAACUACGUGCCAGCAGCCGCGGUAAUUC